rnacentral:rRNA from 1 species
UAAUAGGUCUGGCCUGCCCAGUGAUAAAAUUUAACGGCCGCGGUAUAUUGACCGUGCAAAGGUAGCAUAAUCAUUAGUCUUUUAAUAGAAGGCUGGAAUGAAAGGUUUAACGAGAAAUUAACUGUCUCAAUUACAAACUUGAAUUUAUCUUUUGAGUCAAAAGACUUAAAUAUAAUUGGGGGACGAGAAGACCCUAUAGAGCUUAACAAUUUUUUUUCUAUAUUUAUUUAGUUAAAUUAUUUAUAUAUAUUGGAAAAAUUGUUUUGUUGGGGUGACAAUAAAUAUAUAUUUAACUUUUAUCAUAACAUGAACAUUAAUUUAUGAUUUUUGGAUCCAAAAAUUUUGAUCAAUAGAUUAAGUUACCUUAGGGAUAACAGCGUAAUCUUCCCUCAGAGUUCAUAUUUACGGGAAGGCUUGCGACCUCG